rnacentral:rRNA from 1 species
GGGUUGUGAGGUUAAGCGACUAAGCGUACACGGUGGAUGCCCUGGCAGUCAGAGGCGAUGAAGGACGUGCUAAUCUGCGAUAAGCGCCGGUAAGGUGAUAUGAACCGUUAUAACCGGCGAUUUCCGAAUGGGGAAACCCAGUGUGACUCGUCACACUAUCAUUAACUGAAUCCAUAGGUUAAUGAGGCGAACCGGGGGAACUGAAACAUCUAAGUACCCCGAGGAAAAGAAAUCAACCGAGAUUCCCCCAGUAGCGGCGAGCGAACGGGGAGGAGCCCAGAGCCUGAAUCAGCAUGUGUGUUAGUGGAAGCGUCUGGAAAGGCGCGCGAUACAGGGUGACAGCCCCGUACACAAAAGCGCAUGUGCUGUGAGCUCGAUGAGUAGGGCGGGACACGUGGUAUCCUGUCUGAAUAUGGGGGGACCAUCCUCCAAGGCUAAAUACUCCUGACUGACCGAUAGUGAACCAGUACCGUGAGGGAAAGGCGAAAAGAACCCCGGCGAGGGGAGUGAAAAAGAACCUGAAACCGUGUACGUACAAGCAGUGGGAGCCCCACCACUAAGCCAGUGGUGAACUCCACAUACGCAUCCUUUGCUGAGGAUACGGUUAACGGAGCGAAAGCGACGUUCAACCUCAAAAGAAGCAGAGGGGGCUUAGUGGUGGGGUGACUGCGUACCUUUUGUAUAAUGGGUCAGCGACUUAUAUUCUGUAGCAAGGUUAACCGUAUAGGGGAGCCGGAGGGAAACCGAGUCUUAAUUGGGCGUUAAGUUGCAGGGUAUAGACCCGAAACCCGGUGAUCUAGCCAUGGGCAGGUUGAAGGUUGGGUAACACUAACUGGAGGACCGAACCGACUAAUGUUGAAAAAUUAGCGGAUGACCUGUGGCUGGGGGUGAAAGGCCAAUCAAACCGGGAGAUAGCUGGUUCUCCCCGAAAGCUAUUUAGGUAGCGCCUCGUGAAUUCAUCUCCGGGGGUAGAGCACUGUUUCGGCUAGGGGGCCAUCCCGGCUUACCAACCCGAUGCAAACUGCGAAUACCGGAGAAUGUUAUCACGGGAGACACACGGCGGGUGCUAACGUCCGUCGUGAAGAGGGAAACAACCCAGACCGCCAGCUAAGGUCCCAAAGUCAUGGUUAAGUGGGAAACGAUGUGGGAAGGCCCAGACAGCCAGGAUGUUGGCUUAGAAGCAGCCAUCAUUUAAAGAAAGCGUAAUAGCUCACUGGUCGAGUCGGCCUGCGCGGAAGAUGUAACGGGGCUAAACCAUGCACCGAAGCUGCGGCAGCGACGCUUAUGCGUUGUUGGGUAGGGGAGCGUUCUGUAAGCCUGCGAAGGUGGCCUGUGAGGGUUGCUGGAGGUAUCAGAAGUGCGAAUGCUGACAUAAGUAACGAUAAAGCGGGUGAAAAGCCCGCUCGCCGGAAGACCAAGGGUUCCUGUCCAACGUUAAUCGGGGCAGG